AUGGCAUCUCUAGCCAGAACAGUUCAGUUGGUGCACGGUGACGUGGUGGCUCGACAAGUGUGGGCAACAGCAGUAGGGUCCCCCUUGAAGUGGAGCAUGAUGACUACAAUUCUGGGUUUGAUGAAGAGAAGCUAUAUGCUGAUGUUAUUCGGAAUUUACGACGGGCACCUCGGGCUGAUAACCAAGAUGAGGCUCACAAUGCAGUCCGUGUGGAUGAUGACGCGGUGGGUGAGGACGAAGACCUUGCAACUGUUGAAUGGGACCCUUUGA
rnacentral:rRNA from 1 species